UAGAUUUCCUCCUGGACUUUUCUGUCUUUUUGAGCUGAGUCAAAUUCAAAGGUACUCAGAAGACAUCUGUUGAAUGGAGAAGGGGAAGGAGAAGAAAGGGAAGGAUGAAGCAGAGGGAAGAGGAUGGGAAGGAGUUAACAGACUGUGAGAGGUUCCAGGUGCUCGAGUACAGCAGAGCCCAGUGGAGUCAAGACCACCGUCCCAUGGAAUUCACUUUCCAGUUAGAGACACGUUUUAUGACAGAGGUAAGCCCAUAAAUAGUCACAAAACAAAGUGCAGGGUGACUUGAGAGAAUGUAAGCACUUUGAUAAAUACAGUGUAAACACAGCCUGACUGGUGGGGAUGGCAUCUUUAGAUCAGAUGAUUUAGCGAGGGCUCCACAAGAAAGUAAGAGAGGCGGGGGCCAGGCCAAAGCAACAGCAAGUGUCAGUUUCCAGUUUUUGCAAAUAAAAAUACAGGACACCCCAUUACAUUUGAAUUUCAGAUAAACAACAAAUGAGUUUUUAUCCUCCUGGUAAUGAAAGGGUUUUUUUAAUCUAGCAGCCCUAAAAGCACAAAUACUUAGAAGUAGGACCAGGCUCAAUGUAAUCGAGGAUUAGAGUUUGGGGGUGGGAGCAACGUGAGAUGAUGGGAGUUUGAAAAUGGAGGCCAUCAAGGUAGGAGGCUGGGGUUUUGGGUCUUCAGGUGCUGGAAAGCCACUGAAGGGUUUCAUGAGCUGAAUGGCCUAAUCUGACUUGGCCGUGUUAAAUGAUGGCUCAGUGGGCUGCAGGGGGGAAGAUCAUGGUGUGUGGGAACACAGAGGCAGGAGACUGUUGGUGUGGUCCAGCGGUGAGAUGAUGGGUUCUCACUCCAGAGGCAGAGCGGUGAGGACAACAGAAGUGAACUGCCUCAGUCAAGGGUUGUAGUUGCAAGCACUAGCUAUGUUUAACACCAGAG
rnacentral:lncRNA from 1 species